AUGGUUUUGGCAAAGAACACAGAGUGCAUACCGCAUCCUUGCUGCCUCAAAGUCCCGGGGGAGUUGCAGCUAAAGGGGGCGCGAGGGUCUGAAGGUGGGGGGAAGGAAGCGGCGUCAGUCAACUUCCUCGGCUGCGGUGGCUGUGGCAGCAGCGGGGUGUGCACCGGGCUAUGCCAACCCUCCCCUGGGCCGGGAAGGGGCGGAGCUGGGCGUCGCCGCUCCGGUUGUCCCCUCCUCCCCGCCGCUCUCGGGUGCAGAGCUCUCCGCGGUCGCUGUGGCGGCCGCUCGGAGGGAGCUCUCCGGGAGCCCCAGGCGGGAGUGUGGCUGGCGGGGCUGAGCUGCUGGAGCUCGGAAUUCCUCAAGUCCUGACUGAAGCAUUUGAAGUAGCUUAUCUCCCAAUCCACUCCUCUUGCUUGCAGAGACCCCGUGGGUCAUCGCGCGCCUCAGCUGAAGCAUGGACUGCACUUUUCUGUCAUAAUCCCACUAUGUAUCUUUCUACCCAGUAACACUACAGACCUUAAUCUCUACAAAGGCAAGUAGACUACCUUUUUUGAUCAUCACAUCCCUACUACAUAGAGCCUAGCCCAGAACUACCUAGCAUUUUCUGGUCAUUAUCCCAAACCAGACAACUGUUUUAUAUGUGAAGAGACUGAGUCAGAGACCUGUGAAGUUCUAGCUGACCAUUCGGGAAGCAGCAAAACCAGGGUUUGGCUCUAGGUUUUCCCAAACUUCCUUCACCUUUUCCCUUUCCUUUUAUUUAUUUAUUUCUUUAUUUUGUUUUUGUUUUUGCUUUGUUUUUUCAAUACAGGGUUUCUUUAUAUAGCCCUAUCCUGGAGCUUGCUCUGUAGACCAGGCUGGUCUCGAACUCACAGAGAUCCGUCUGCCUCUGCCAAGGGCUGGGAUUAAGGGCCUGAGGCACUACCUCCUGGCUUCUUUCACACUUUUAUUCUUUUCAUUCCUGACAUUUUUAACCUGAUUAAAUACUUUUCUUUCAGCAUUAAGAAAUGUGAAGUUAGGCUGGAGAGAUGGCUCAGAGGUUAAGAGCACUGGCUGCUCUUCCAGAGGUCAUGAGUUCAAUUCCCAGCACCCACAUGGCCGCUCAUAACUAUCUGGAACUCCAGUUCCAGGGGAUCUGACACCCUCAUACAGACAUACAUGCAGGGAAAACACCAAUACACAUACAAAUAAAAAGGAAUCAUUAAAAAGAAAGAAAAAGAAA
rnacentral:lncRNA from 1 species